GAUGAACGCUGGCGGCGUGCCUAAUACAUGCAAGUCGAGCGAACAGUCGAGGAGCUUGCUCCGCUGACGUUAGCGGCGGAGGGGUGAGUAACACGUGGAUAACCUACCUAUACGACUGGGAUAACUGCGGGAAACCGGAGGUAAUAGCGGAUAACAUGGUGAACUGCAUGGUUCAACAGUGAAAGUCGGUCAUGCUGUCACUUAUCGAUGGAUCCGGGCCGCAUGAGCUAGUUGGUAAGGUAACGGCUUACCAGGGCUACGAUGCGUAGCCACCCUGAAAGGGGGACCGGCCACCUGGGAACUAAGCCACGGUCCAGACCCCUACGGGAGGAGGCAGAGGGGAAUCUUGGCAAAGGGGCGAAAGCCUGACGGAGCAAGGCCGCGUGAGUGAAGAAGUUCUUCGGAUCUUAAAACUCUGUGAUUAGGGAGAAACAGAAGUGGAAGUAAAAAUGCACGUCUUGACGGUACCUAAUCAGAAAGCCACGGCUAACUACGUG
rnacentral:rRNA from 1 species